rnacentral:rRNA from 1 species
AGCAGUGGGGAAUAUUGGACAAUGGGCGCAAGCCUGAUCCAGCAAUACCGCGUGUGUGAAGAAGGCCUUAGGGUUGUAAAGCACUUUCAAUUGGGAGGAAAACAGGCAGGUCAAUACCCUGUCUCUUGACAUUACCUUUAGAAGAAGCACCGGCUAACUCCGUGCCAGCAGCCGCGGUAAUACGGAGGGUGCGAGCGUUAAUCGGAAUUACUGGGCGUAAAGCGUGCGUAGGCGGUUCGUUAAGUCAGAUGUGAAAGCCCUGGGCUCAACCUGGGAACUGCAUUUGAAACUGGCGGACUAGAGUUUAGUAGAGGGGAGUGGAAUUUCAGGUGUAGCGGUGAAAUGCGUAGAUAUCUGAAGGAACACCAGUGGCGAAGGCGACUCCCUGGACUAGAACUGACGCUGAGGUACGAAAGCGUGGGUAGCAAACAGGAUUAGAU